rnacentral:rRNA from 1 species
UACGUAGGGUGCAAGCGUUAAUCGGAAUUACUGGGCGUAAAGCGUGCGUAGGCGGUGUUUUAAGACAGAUGUGAAAUCCCCGGGCUCAACCUGGGAACUGCAUUUGUGACUGCAUUGCUGGAGUGCGGCAGAGGGGGAUGGAAUUCCGCGUGUAGCAGUGAAAUGCGUAGAUAUGCGGAGGAACACCGAUGGCGAAGGCAAUCCCCUGGGCCUGCACUGACGCUCAUGCACGAAAGCGUGGGGAGCAAACAGG